GAGAAGAACGUAGCGAAAUGCGAUAAGUAGUGUGAAUUGCAGAAUUCAGUGAAUCAUCGAAUCUUUGAACGCACAUUGCGCCCCUUGGUAUUCCAUGGGGCAUGCCUGUUCGAGCGUCAUUUGUACCUUCAAGCUUUGCUUGGUGUUGGGUGUUUGUCCAUUCUCUUGCAGAGGGACUCGCCUUAAAGUAAUUGGCAGCCAGUGUUUUGGUUUUGAAGCGCAGCACAAGUCGCGAUUCAAAGCUAUACGCCCGCUUCCACAAGCCUUUUUCACUUUUGACCUCGGAUCAGGUAGGGAUACCCGCUGAACUUAAGCAUAUCAAUAAGCGGAGGA
rnacentral:misc_RNA from 1 species